AGCGGCGGUUUCUUCUCUUCGUGAAAAUCGUGAUCUCAUCUCUCCGUCCAUGGGCGAAAAAACAGCCAUCACCAGGCCAUUCACGCUUUGUGCUUUUGUUAGCAGAGCCCAGGCAGCCCUGCAGCCCACAUCUAGGGUACAAACGGAACGGCGGCGUUUUCCUUGUAUCAUUUAGAGGAAAUUUUUGAGCUGAACAGUAUUUUUUUUCUCCCUCUCUCUCUCUCUGAAAUAUUGCUGAGAUUUAAAGGAGGACGAAGACAACAGAUUCAUAGCUGGGUCUUGCUGUUUUCCUGACGCUGACCACAGCGGAUCUAGGUGGCUAUUUCGUUGGUGCACAGGCGUUCACAGAGGCAGAGAGGGGAGAAAGUUGUCAAACAGAUUCACAGACUGUCAAAGUGCGGCUUAAACCGAGUUCCUGGGCUCCCUCACUGGCUUCGUCCACUUAAACUUUUAACGUACACAUGUAGAGAGCUGAAACUCCAGGGGUAACAUGGGACAGGUCCUCUUGAUUUAAUGAAAACAGAAGAUCAACUGGACCGGGUAGCAAGAAAUAAGGCUUAAGAAGCACUGGUUUCUCUGCAGAAGACAGCAAGAUGCCCCAGGGAAUGUUUGUGAAAAAGGAUGACUGGAUGGGAAGCAAGCUGAAGAAAAAGAAGGAAAGAAAGAGAGAAAUCAGUAAAUCACCACACAAGAGGUGGAGAAGAGGACUUAUAAAUAUUGUUUCUAUGACAUUUGAAAAUAAAUGUUUUACUCCAUGCUAAUAGUGAAUGUGAUGUCUUCAGUUUGAAGGGCUUUAAGUGAAGCUCAUUAAAACCCACUAUUUUCCA
rnacentral:lncRNA from 1 species